rnacentral:misc_RNA from 1 species
UCAUGCAUGAUGUCAUAAAAGAAUUAAUUAAGUGAAUUAUUUAAUUGGACUUUUUGUGGUCUUCCAUACACUAAAAUAAAUAAAGAAAAGAAAUGAAAAAAAUCAAAUUUGGUCUUCCUUCUUCCCUUUUGCCGUCCCAUUCCUCUCUUCCCACUCCUUCACCAUAUUUCACCAUUGUUAAGGGAAUAAAAGCUUGAAUUUCCCUACCUUAACCUAUAAAUUCACAAAGUCUCCACACAAAAAUUUCUCCUUACAUGUUGAGAGAGCAUUAGAGAGUAAAAAAAAAAGAAGAAAGACUUGAAAAAAGGGGAGCCUAAAAAUCCUCCAAGCAAGGUUAGUAUAUUAAACUCCUUACUUUCCAUUUUAAAUGCAUAAUUAGUGGUUGAAAGUGAGCUUAGAAGUUAUGAAAUGAAAUAAAAACAUGGGAGAAGGAUCAAACUGAAAUUCUGGCAGCUUGAGAGGAGUAUGAUUUACAUGAAUUUGAUGCAUUAGAAUAAGUUUAAAAGCUUUGAUUAG